CUGUCGUUUUUUCAACCCGCAAGAAAGCCUGCGUACAGCACACGAGGCGCAGCCAGGCAGCCAUCACCCGCGACAGACCAGCAACCUCUUCAAAGGCCUCUCCUGCAGUGUAAGUCUUUCUGCCUAGCCGGCGGCAUCUUUACAGUAAACAGCUAAAAGGGGAGAUCAUCAUCAGUCUUCAGCGAUUACACAUGGUUGGCACAUUAUCUUAUUUAUUGCACAAGAUGCACGUGAGGAUAGCAAAUCCCAGGCUCCAAGUCCUCUCAGUGAUUACGUGAACCUCUUCCAAUCAAGAUGCCAGCAGAAGACAUGACACCGAGGAUUUAGUAUCCAUGGCACAGUAAGCUGCGUCAGAGUCAGUACGUCUGGGUCAGUUUCCCCUGCCCCUCAAGGCUCACAGGGUGACAAGGACGACACUGAUGGAUGUCCACACGUACAGCAGGAUGCCUUACAGGAGCGGACGAGGAGUCAGGGGAACUCGCCACUCCAGGACAGACUGUGAACAGCCUGUUGUUUCGCUUGGAAGGAGACAUUACUUCAUCCUACGAGAUCUAAUUGGAAACACUGGCUUUGUGUUGGGAUGCCAUAUUUAGGAACGUGCAUAGAAUGCCUGCUGGAAGUGUCACCCGCCUUACACUGAGUAAAAGCUGUCAGCGCCUGGCUCGCCCAGAAACUUCAGGAUAUUAGG